rnacentral:rRNA from 1 species
CCUACGGGUGGCAGCAGUGAGGAAUAUUGGUCAAUGGGCGCGAGCCUGAACCAGCCAAGUAGCGUGAAGGAUGACUGCCCUACGGGUUGUAAACUUCUUUUAUAAAGGAAUAAAGUGAGGCACGUGUGCCUUUUUGUAUGUACUUUAUGAAUAAGGAUCGGCUAACUCCGUGCCAGCAGCCGCGGUAAUACGGAGGAUCCGAGCGUUAUCCGGAUUUAUUGGGUUUAAAGGGAGCGUAGAUGGGUUGUUAAGUCAGUUGUGAAAGUUUGCGGCUCAACCGUAAAAUUGCAAUUGAGACUGGAAGCGUUGAGUACAGUCAGGGGAGGGGAAUUUCGUGGUGUAGCGUUUAAAUGCU